CAAGGCACAAGGACAGACCAUCCCAGUUGUCGGCGUGUAUCUACCGGAGGCGGUAUUCUCCCAUGGUCAGCUCUAUGUUGCAUUGUCCAGAGCCACCGCAAAAAGCAACAUUAAGAUUCUCGCUGUCAAGGACCAGGAAAAGAACCAGAACAAGAAUUCAAAGAAGCGGAAAAGAUCUGAGUCCUUAGUUACGACCACAAAGAACAUAGUGUACAAAGAAGUCCUUACUGUUUGAUGUCACCGGGCAAAAUCUGAGCAGCUUCCCUGUUGAUCCUUAUAUACCACUUCUGUAAAGGUUGGAGCAAGAAAGCCAGAACUGUUCUGCAAGACAUUUGAAGAAGCUCACAACAAGCUUGUACUGGCCUCUCGUUUUCAAAAAAUAUUGCAGUCUCUGUUUUUUUGGGAGAUCUUACAAGAUUGUGUCUACUUGUGGAGAUAUACAAAGAACUGAAUCUGGAGGUAGUUCAAAGAUUCCUGAAUGUCUACAAGUACUGAUGAUGAAGUGUAAUGGAUGCUGCUGAGAAACCUUCAAAUGCCAAUGGACUCGGUUUUAGCAUCCAUGCUGAUGAUGUUAAGAUUUAUGAUUUGCUUUUCUGGUUCUCAUCUUGUGAGAAGGUGAUACAGAAAUUCGUUGUUGAUUAGCUACAUUAAAAUGUUUCCUCUGUUUCAAAAUGUAUGCGACGUUUACCACAUGUUUCAAAAGCAACUGUAUUAAUUU